GUUCAGAUGCUCAGUAACAAACUCCACCAAUGUGCCAACAGGGAAGCUUUAGGUUUAUUAAAUGUUGCUAUGAAGAUGCACAAUGAGGGACGUCUGCAGAGACUGAGAAAGAGUCUCACCACAUCCUUACAUGAGGAAAAAGACUUUAUUGAAGACUACAAUGAGAAAAACUAUCCAGACAGCAGACGGCUGCAUUCAAGUUUAGGCUGUUAGAUUGUUCCAGAUAAGACAAGUACAAGAUUCUUCAGAGCCGUUCUACCACAAGCCUGACAGGAAGAACUCCAACAGCUACUGAAUGUUCCUGUGGUUCCCUCAAGGCUACAGGAGGAGCCCUACGAGGACGAGCCGGUCCACCUGAUGGUGGCCAGUCGCUGUGGUUCAAAGCCAACACCGACUACGUGGACUUCUACUGGACCACACGGAGGCCUUCAAACCAGACCAACAAGUUCAGCGACUCCCCGACUCGUGGGUCUGAGGACGCCGCCGAGCCUCGGCCCAGCCGGCCUCCUGUCUGUGGAUGUUUGAGUGCUGAGAGGUUUGUGGAUCCAUGUGAACGUUCUGUGUUGAAACAGCAGCUUUGGACUCAGUAACGCCGGGAAAAACCAAGAGCUCCUUUAUUUGUGACUUCCACUAAUAAAACUGAUGAAAAUAAGUUUGCCAGGGUUCUGACUGAUAACACAUUAUUAAAUAAUGAAAAUAACAGUUUAAAUGUUCCUUUAAACAAUCCUUUUAGGUCUACAUUUCCUUUACACUGACUUCUUGGUAUAUGCACAAGUAUUUUGGGUGGAAUAUACCAUUAAACCUGAUGUUCAAGGGUUCUUCUGGG
ensembl:lncRNA